GGGUGGCUACCGGGUGACCAGAUGCCGAUCUCGAAAACCUGUCCCAGUUCGGACUGGAGUCUGCAACCCGACUCCACGAAGUUGGAUUCGCUAGUAAUCGCGCAUCAGCCAUGGCGCGGUGAAUACGUUCCCGGGCCUUGUACACACCGCCCGUCAAGCCAUGGGAGCCGGGGGCGCCUGAAGUCCGGGACCGCGAGGACCGGCCUAGGGCGAAACUGGUGACUGGGCUAAGUCGUAACAAGGUAGC
rnacentral:rRNA from 1 species